AAGGAAUAUAGGCUAUGGAGUUUUUGGUUUUCCAAAACCAUUGUAUUUAAUCUUUUUCUUUUGUUUUAGAUUGACAUAAGCUUAGAUGGAUCGUCCAGGGAAAACUCCGCAAGAGAAUACUGAUGACAAGCCAGCAACUGUUAGAGGGGUAAUUAUCCCAGACAACAAUGAGGCAAGGCUUGCCCAGCUACAGGAAGCCUUAAACCUAUUUAGGAGUGGAUUGCAGCUAAUUUCUGAAGCCCUCAAUACCAUGGGACAGAUAAUUCCACCUGAACCAGAUCCUUAAUCCUAAGAACAAGGUCUAUACGAAGAGCAUUAUAGAUAGCUUCAUUGCAAGAAAUAUUUACUAAGUGUUAUUAGUUAGUUGUUCAAAAUGCUUUAUUAGAAUUUGAAUUGUAAGUUAUAGUGCCAAAGUGCCUUGAGUAGUGUUUGCCUCCAUGAU